CGAGGCCGAUAGGCGUAGGCGAUGGACAACAGGUAGAGAUUCCUGUACCAGUGCUAAUUGUUUAACCGAUGGGGUGACACAGAAGGAUAGGGAAUCGCACGAAUGGAAAUGUGCGUCCAAGCAGUGAGUGUGAGAAGUAGGCAAAUCCGCUUCUCGCGAAGCAUGAGCUGUGAUGGGGAAGGAAAUUAAGUACGGAAGUUCCUGAUUUCACGCUGUCAAGAAAAGCCUCUAGGAAGAGUAGUACUGCCCGUACCGCAAACCGACACAGGUAGAUGAGGAGAGAAUCCUAAGGUGAGCGAGAGAACUCUCGUUAAGGAACUCGGCAAAAUGACCCCGUAACUUCGGGAGAAGGGGUGCUCUAUUAGGGUGCAAGCCCGAGAGAGCCGCAGUGAAUAGGCCCAGGCGACUGUUUAGCAAAAACACAGGUCUCUGCAAAACCGUAAGGUGACGUAUAGGGGCUGACGCCUGCCCGGUGCUGGAAGGUUAAGAGGAGUGCUUAGCUUCGGCGAAGGUACGAAUUGAAGCCCCAGUAAACGGCGGCCGUAACUAUAACGGUCCUAAGGUA
rnacentral:rRNA from 1 species